rnacentral:rRNA from 1 species
UACGGAGGGGGCUAGCGUUGUUCGGAAUUACUGGGCGUAAAGCGCACGUAGGCGGCUUUGUAAGUUAGAGGUGAAAGCCCGGGGCUCAACUCCGGAAUUGCCUUUAAAACUGCGUCGCUAGAAUUGUGGAGAGGUAAGUGGAAUUCCGAGUGUAGAGGUGAAAUUCGUAGAUAUUCGGAAGAACACCAGUGGCGAAGGCGACUUACUGGACACAUAUUGACGCUGAGGUGCGAAAGCGUGGGGAGCAAACAGG